GCCUCAGUAGCUCAGUUAGCAGAGCAAUUGAUUCGUAAUCAAUAGGUCAUGGGUGCAAAUCCCAUCUGAGGCU
rnacentral:tRNA from 1 species